UGACCACUUCUUCAGGGAGUUAAGGCCAUACGGACAGCCGGGUCAAAUGCCGA
rnacentral:sRNA from 1 species